rnacentral:rRNA from 1 species
GACGAACGCUGGCGGCGUGCUUAACACAUGCAAGUCGAACGGAAAGGCCCUGCUUUUGUGGGGUGCUCGAGUGGCGAACGGGUGAGUAACACGUGAGUAACCUGCCCUUGACUUUGGGGUAACUUCAGGAAACUGGGGCUAAUACCGGAUAGGAUCUCCUGCUGCAUGGUGUGGGUUGGAGAGUUUCGGCGGUUGUGGAUGGAGUCGCGGCUUAUGAGCUUGUUGGUGGGGUAGGGGCUUACCAAGGCUGUGACGGGUAGCCGGCCUGAGAGGGUUACCGGCCACAAGGGGACUGAGAGACGGACCAGACGCCAACGGGAGGCAGCAGUGGGGAACAUUGCACAAUGGGCGGAAGCCUGAUGUAGCAACGCCGCGUGCGGGAUGAUGGGCUACGGGUGGUAAACAGCUUUGGACGGUGACGAAGCGUGAGUGACGGUAAUGGGUAAAGAAGCACCGGCUAACUACGUG